CGGGUCAAUAGUGCAACUGUGGGUUUGGUACAGACAGGUCAAUAGUGCAACUGUGGGUUUGGUACAGACAGGUCAAUAGUGCAACUGUGGGUUUGGUACAGACAGGUCAAUAGUCUAACUGUGGGUUUGGUACAGACAGGUCAAUAGUCCACCUGUGGGUUUGGUACAGACAGGUCAAUAGUCUAACUGUGGGUUUGGUACAGACAGGUCAAUAGUCCAACUGUGGGUUUGGUACAGACAGGUCAAUAGUCCAACUGUGGGUUUGGUACAGACAGGUCAAUAGUCCAACUGUGGGUUUGGUACAGACAGGUCAAUAGUCCAACUGUGGGUUUGGUACAGACAGGUCAAUAGUGCAACUGUGGGUUUGGUAUAGACAGGUCAAUAGUCUAACUGUGGGUUUGGUACAGACGGGUCAAUAGUCCACCUGUGGGUUUGGUACAGACAGGUCAAUAGUCCAACUGUGGGUUUGGUACAGACGGGUCAAUAGUCCAACUGUGGGUUUGGUACAGACAGGUCAAUAGUCCACCUGUGGGUUUGGUACAGACAGGUCAAUAGUCCAACUGUGGGUUUGGUACAGACAGGUCAAUAGUCCAACUGUGGGUUUGGUACAGACAGGUCAAUAGUCCAACUGUGGGUUUGGUACAGACAGGUCAAUAGUCCAACUGUGGGUUUGGUACAGACGGGUCAAUAGUCUAACUGUGGGUUUGGUACAGACGGGUCAAUAGUCCAACUGUGGGUUUGGUACAGACAGGUCAAUAGUCCAACUGUGGGUUUGGUAUAGACAGGUCAAUAGUCUAACUGUGGGUUUGGUACAGACGGGUCAAUAGUCCAACUGUGGGUUUGGUACAGACAGGUCAAUAGUCUAACUGUGGGUUUGGUACAGACAGGUCAAUAGUCCAACUGUGGGUUUGGUACAGACAGGUCAAUAGUCCAACUGUGGGUUUGGUACAGACAGGUCAAUAGUCCAACUGUGGGUUUGGUACAGACAGGUCAAUAGUCUAACUGUGGGUUUGGUACAGACAGGUCAAUAGUCCACCUGUGGGUUUGGUACAGACAGGUCAAUAGUCCACCUGUGGGUUUGGUACAGACAGGUCAAUAGUCUAACUGUGGGUUUGGUACAGACAGGUCAAUAGUCCACCUGUGGGUU